ACGGAGGAUGCGAGCGUUAUCCGGAUUUAUUGGGUUUAAAGGGUGCGUAGGCGGAAGUUCAAGUCAGCGGUAAAAUCGAGGGGCUCAACCCCUUUAAGCCGUUGAAACUGGGUUUCUUGAGUGGGCGAGAAGUGUGCGGAAUGUGUGGUGUAGCGGUGAAAUGCAUAGAUAUCACACAGAACUCCGAUUGCGAAGGCAGCACACCGGCGCCCAACUGACGCUGAGGCACGAAAGCGUGGGGAUCAAACAG
rnacentral:rRNA from 1 species